rnacentral:lncRNA from 1 species
UCCCUUUAAUAAACUCUCCUCAAUUACCCCCACUGAGUGCACCAUCUGUUUCCUCCCAGAGUCCUCCCUGCUGCAAUCUUGAAGUGCACCCUCGUUUCAGAAGAGCAGCUCACUUCUCCAGACAAGAGUGCUGCUGAAUUUUAAAGAGGAUUCCACAUCUAUGCUAAAGGAACAUCAGAGGCGCCUUUGGACUGCUCAUGACUGGGGACUAAUUCUCGACCUGGAAGGAAGCAGGCACGAUGCUUCUUCAUUGGGAACGAUGCCUAUCAUUGCGUCAAGACUCUUUGCAUACCUUUAAGGUCAGUUCACCUUUGCUGAGCUUGAAUCCAAGCUACAGGUUGGGGGCCCAGCUCUGCUUUACCAGUCUCUGCUUAUCCAUGGACCAGUGGGCCGACUGGAACAUACUCUUCUCACGGCGAGGGCAGAAGUCAGACAGAAGCACUUGAGGGGAAACCUGAGUUUCUCCUAACAUCGAGGCUUGUAUUGGUACACUGUCACUUCUACCCACAUUCUAUUGGCCAAAACAAAUCCUAUGGACAAGCCCAACCUUAGUCGGGCAGGGAAAGACACUCUGUCUUGGGUGAGAAGCACGCCAAAGGCAUAUCCAAAGAGCAAGCAUACAGGAAGGGAUCAAGAAUUGGACGCAAUAGCAAUAGUGUAAUCCAUCUCAGGGGAUAUUAGGCUAAAGGGGGUUUGCUCUCCCAGACCUCUAGUGGGGGGGUGGUUAGUUGAGUUUAUUCAACCAGAUGCAGGCUAAGAAGGAAAAAGGAAGUGACCAUAGGUCAGUUUUGUCUACUGGAAGCAGGAUGCAGAGACAGGGGACUCACUUGUAUUGAAAAUAUGAAUAUCUUAAGAGGAGAGAGUAGAGGAGGAAGAGAUGGACAGAGAUCCUCAUGAUUCAGAAUAUAAUCCAUGCUGCUCUGGUAAGUAUGGCCCAUGGAUGGAUGGACUCUCUCCAUUCUCCAGUCAGAUGAGUCAUUUUUCUUCCCAUAGGAUGGGGGCAGCUAGAGAAUGGGGAGAGGAAUGGCAAACGUUCAUGACUAUUGCUCCUUUCUGAGGAGGGGAAGCAGGAAUCCUCUGGCUAGGGAGUAAGAGAAGAAGUGCUUGACUCACAGAUGUUUCUGUGGGAGGCAUGGACCCACAGGACACCACCAGGUGGAUGUCUGCAAUGUGGCUGGUAAGGGCUGGCAUUCCUGUUCCUUGGCCCCUUCUGGACAAGCACUGCUGGGGCCCCUGUGAUUCUAAGUCACUUCCUGCAGGGACCACCCCCCCCACACCCCCCGCCGCGCUUCAUGCUCAGGUGUCUGACCCUGAGACUUUGCCUACCUGCUGUUAGACCCUGCAUGGUCUCCUUCCAGGUAGGUGAUAACAGACAGCUUGUUAAUCAGACAAACUAAUCAUGCAGAUUAGGCCUGGUUCAAGCAUGGAUCAUCCCUUCCAGGGAAU